rnacentral:ncRNA from 2 species
UAGCGAUGAAGCGUCAGCGGUUCCCCGACGGUGGAAGACAUCGGGGGAUUAAAAGGGAACGACGGAAGAGGCCAACUCCGAGAGGGCCUUCAAGCCGUGGCUGUCCCCGCAACUGUGAACGGCGAGGUUCGUGCCUCAUGCCACUGACGCGCAAGCGUCGGGAAGGCGGUGCGCUCCAACGACCCGUGAGCCAGGAGACCUGCCGUUGACGGCGUCACUAU